AGUGAACGCUGGCGGUAGGCCUAACACAUGCAAGUCGAACGGCAGCACAGUAAGAGCUUGCUCUUACGGGUGGCGAGUGGCGGACGGGUGAGGAAUACAUCGGAAUCUACUUUUUCGUGGGGGAUAACGUAGGGAAACUUACGCUAAUACCGCAUACGACCUACGGGUGAAAGCAGGGGAUCUUCGGACCUUGCGCGAUUGAAUGAGCCGAUGUCGGAUUAGCUAGUUGGCGGGGUAAAGGCCCACCAAGGCGACGAUCCGUAGCUGGUCUGAGAGGAUGAUCAGCCACACUGGAACUGAGACACGGUCCAGACUCCUACGGGAGGCAGCAGUGGGGAAUAUUGGACAAUGGGCGCAAGCCUGAUCCGGCCAUACCGCGUGGGUGAAGAAGGCCUCCGGGUUGUAAAGCCCUUUUGUUGGGAAAGAAAAGCAGCAGGUUAAUACCCCGCUGUUCUGACGGUACCCAAAGAAUAAGCACCGGCUAACUUCGUG
rnacentral:rRNA from 1 species